AUUGAACGCUGGCGGCAGGCCUAACACAUGCAAGUCGAGCGGAUGAAGGGAGCUUGCUCCUGGAUUCAGCAGCGGACGGGUGAGUAAUGCCUAGGAAUCUGCCUGGUAGUGGGGGAUAACGUCCGGAAACGGGCGCUAAUACCGCAUACGUCCUGAGGGAGAAAGUGGGGGAUCUUCGGACCUCACGCUAUCAGAUGAGCCUAGGUCGGAUUAGCUAGUUGGUGGGGUAAAGGCCUACCAAGGCGACGAUCCGUAACUGGUCUGAGAGGAUGAUCAGUCACACUGGAACUGAGACACGGUCCAGACUCCUACGGGAGGCAGCAGUGGGGAAUAUUGGACAAUGGGCGAAAGCCUGAUCCAGCCAUGCCGCGUGUGUGGAGAAGGUCUUCGGAUUGUAAAGCACUUUAAGUUGGGAGGAAGGGCAGUAAGUUAAUACCUUGCUGUUUUGACGUUACCAACAGAAUAAGCACCGGCUAACUUCGUG
rnacentral:rRNA from 1 species